UACGGAGGGAGCUAGCGUUGUUCGGAAUUACUGGGCGUAAAGCGCGCGUAGGCGGCUUUUGUAAGUUAGAGGUGAAAGCCCGGGGCUCAACCCCGGAACAGCCUUUAAGACUGCAUCGCUAGAAUCCGGGAGAGGUGAGUGGAAUUCCGAGUGUAGAGGUGAAAUUCGUAGAUAUUCGGAAGAACACCAGUGGCGAAGGCGGCUCACUGGACCGGCAUUGACGCUGAGGUGCGAAAAGCGUGGGGAGCAAACAGG
rnacentral:rRNA from 1 species